rnacentral:rRNA from 1 species
GUGGGGAAUUUUGGACAAUGGGCGCAAGCCUGAUCCAGCAAUGCCGCGUGCAGGAAGAAGGCCUUCGGGUUGUAAACUGCUUUUGUACGGAACGAAACGGUCCUGGUUAAUACCUGGGGCUAAUGACGGUACCGUAAGAAUAAGCACCGGCUAACUACGUGCCAGCAGCCGCGGUAAUACGUAGGGUGCAAGCGUUAAUCGGAAUUACUGGGCGUAAAGCGUGCGCAGGCGGUUUUGUAAGACAGGCGUGAAAUCCCCGGGCUCAACCUGGGAAUUGCGGUUGUGACUGCAAGGCUGGAGUGCGGAAGAGGGGGAUGGAAGUCCGCGUGUAGCAGUGAAAUGCGUAGAUAUGCGGAGGAACACCGAUGGCGAAGGCAAUCCCCUGGGCCUGCACUGACGCUCAUGCACGAAAGCGUGGGGAGCAAACAGGAUUAGAAACCCCAGUAGUCC